rnacentral:rRNA from 1 species
GGGGGAAUAUUGCACAAUGGAGGGAACUCUGAUGCAGCGACGCCGCGUGAGUGAAGAAGUAUUUCGGUAUGUAAAGCUCUAUCAGCAGGGAAGAAGACGACGGUACCUGACUAAGAAGCCCCGGCUAACUACGUGCCAGCAGCCGCGGUAAUACGUAGGGGGCAAGCGUUAUCCGGAUUUACUGGGUGUAAAGGGAGCGUAGACGGCGAUGCAAGUCUGAAGUGAAAGGCGGGGGGCGUCAACUCCCGGAUUGCUUUGGAAACUGUAUGGCUAGAGUACCGGAGGGGUAAGCGGAAUUCCUGGUGUAGCGGUGAAAUGCGUAGAUAUCAGGAGGAACACCGGUGGCGAAGGCGGCUUACUGGACGGCAACUGACGUUGAGGCUCGAAAGCGUGGGGAGCAAACAGGAUUAGAUACCCUGGUAGU